GGCAGAUGCAUUGUCCCGUCAACAUGAACCCUCUACGGUGUCUGAAGCAGCUUUGUCUUCUAUCGUUCCUAAGUGUAAUAUUAUUGCCAACACUUGUGUCAGGAUACACUCGCCAUUGCUUGCUGAGAUCAAGAAAGAACAACAUCUAGCUCCCAAACCUGUUCCUGGGGAUCGAUACUUCGUUCCUCCUGAGCUCCAAGUGGAAC